CUGUAAUGCGUAAUCCCGCAACUGUGAAUCUCGUUUUUCUUGUGAGAAGCAUUCCCUGAUGUCCGUAGUGACAUUGAAGCAGAAUUUCAGACACUGGCAGCACCCUUGAAAGAACAAACAGCGGUCUUUGAAGACCUUAUCACUAAGCUGAAAAAAUGUGUAGCAGAAACGGUGACAUUGAAGCGUGAUAUUCAGGCUAAUCAGGACUGUCACUUGGGUGAGGUUGAUAGAGCAUACAACAGAGGCCAGGAAGCUUUGGAAUCUUGGAAGCGGAAAGAAGUGAAGGAUGUAGAAGAGCGACACAGCAAGUGGUUCAAUGUAUGUGAUGAAGGCAUCAAACAUCUUCAAAUCAAAAUUGAUGAAGGGAAAACACUAAUUUCUAGAACAAAUCACAUUUUGUCGACUCCCAAGGCUGAAUAUGUCAGGGAUUUCGGGCGUUACGGACCUCUAGUACAGAGAAGUAUUUCAGCCUACAGCGAUGUCCUUGACAAGCAGACAGCCGACAAUUUAAGAUGCCGUCUUUCAAUACAACGCGACCCCGCAACCACCAAAUCUGUUGGUGUUGUGAAAAACUUGUUUGAAAAUCAAUCCAGUGGAAUAACUGUGGCAACACCCUCUAUGAGUUCAUAAGGGCAGGACAUUACGUGGGCCAAUUGAAGAUCCAGCAAGAUGGGUUGACCGUUACCACUGUGGGCCUUAGUGGCAAAAUAUCUUUCACUUUUGGGGCGUUGACAGAUGGCCUCCUAGAAGAUGGUAGAUUUUACUGGGAGAUUGGUGUCCCUUCUAGCACCUUCUGGGAAAUGGGUGUGUGUGUUGGGCGUCGGUAAUAAAGACAGUCUGGAGGAGCCUACUCGCAAGUACAAGUAUGUUACGUACGCCAUCCCACUAAAGUGUAACAAAAACAAGUACAAAUGGUGCCUAUACAGCAAAGAUCCUGCCGACAAACCCAGGGAGAAGUGGAAGGCCUGCAGACGGAUAGACAGAGUUGGUAUUUAUCUGGACACUUAUAGUAAGAUCAUGAUAUUCAUAGACUGCAGCAGGAAUCAGGUUUUUGCUACUAUAAUUGAGCUGAAUGUGUCGAGUCCCUUUGUCCCAGCGGUUAACAUACUGACUAGCUCCAAUGGUGUAUCAGUUCACUUGAUAUCACAGCCUGAUCUUCCGCAAGUCUUGUGUGACAAGCUGCGGGAGUUAGCGGCCAGGCAUCUUGUCGUGAACGUCAUUUGAUUAUUUCAAGUAAUCUAGAUGCAUUCAUUGUACCCGAAGCAAAAUUAGUUCGCCAAUAGUACUGAACGUAUGUAUGUACACACGGCUGGUUUAGAUGUAAUGUUUACACUUAAGGUUGUCACCAGUUUAGAAAAAAAGUGUGUAAAUGUUUAAUUAUUACUCGAACAAGCCUGGUACGUGGGAAGAUCUGUCAGCAACCAGCGGAUGGUCGUGGUCGAACAAGGCUGUAGUGGUGUAGAUGUCAAUUAUUUUACCAG